AGGCAUUUAUCGAGACAAAGCUGGGAAGUUUGUCAUACAUGGUGGCCGUCCCUAUAAAAUUUGAAGAACCUAUAUAUGGAAAAAAGAACACCGAUUUCACAACUUUUGUGACGCCAGGAGCAGUUUUGAGCAUCACAUUUUACCUGGCAGUGGGGUUGACCGCUCUGUCCUUUGUGUUAGAGAGAAAGGAGGGUGCUGCUGGACAGGUGCUGGGUGGCAGGUGAGACCGCUC